rnacentral:rRNA from 1 species
CCUACGGGGGGCAGCAGUGGGGAAUAUUGCGCAAUGGGCGAAAGCCUGACGCAGCGACGCCGCGUGAGGGAUGAAGGUCUUCGGAUCUUAAACCUCUUUCAGCAGGGAAGAACGGUCACUGUGCUAAUCAGCAGUGAAUUGACUGUACCUGCAAAGGAAGCACCGGCUAACUCCGUGCCAGCAGCCGCGGUAAUACGGAGGGUGCGAGCGUUAAUCGGAAUUACUGGGUGUAAAGCGCUCGUAGGCGGUAUGUCAAGUCAAGGGUGAAAUGCCCGCGCUCAACUUGGGAAGUGCCUUUGAAACUGGAAAACUGGAGUGUGUGAGAGGAUAGUGGAAUUCCUGGUGUAGGAGUGAAAUCCGUAGAUAUCUGGAGGAACAUCAGUGGCGAAGGCGACUAUCUGGCACAUAACUGACGCUGAGGAGCGAAAGCGUGGGUAGCAAACAGGAUUAGAUACCCUUGUAGUC